ACAGGACCAGACAGACACAUUUGUAU
rnacentral:piRNA from 1 species